rnacentral:rRNA from 1 species
UACGGAGGGUGCAAGCGUUGUUCGGAAUUAUUGGGCGUAAAGCGCGUGUAGGCGGCUAUUUAAGUCUGAUGUGAAAGCCCGGGGCUCAACCCCGGAAGUGCAUUGGAAACUGGAUAGCUUGAGUACGGGAGAGGGUAGUGGAAUUCCAGGUGUAGGAGUGAAAUCCGUAGAGAUCUGGAGGAACACCGGUGGCGAAGGCGGCUACCUGGACCGAUACUGACGCUGAGACGCGAAAGCGUGGGGAG